UACAGAGGGUGCAAGCGUUGUUCGGAAUUAUUGGGCGUAAAGGGUAGGUAGGCGGUCUCAUUUGUGUGGGGUGAAAGCCUUGGGCUUAACUCAAGAAGUGCCCCGCAAACGGUGAGACUGGAGUACUGGAGAGGCUAGCGGAAUUCCCGGUGUAGCGGUGAAAUGCGUAGAGAUCGGGAGGAACACCAGAGGCGAAGGCGGGUUGCUGCGCUGACACUGACGCUGAUGCGCGAAAGCCAGGGGAGCGAACGGG
rnacentral:rRNA from 1 species